rnacentral:rRNA from 1 species
CAGUAGCCGCGGUAAUACGUAGGUCCCGAGCGUUGUCCGGAUUUAUUGGGCGUAAAGCGAGCGCAGGCGGUUAGAUAAGUCUGAAGUUAAAGGCUGUGGCUUAACCAUAGUACGCUUUGGAAACUGUUUAACUUGAGUGCAGAAGGGGAGAGUGGAAUUCCAUGUGUAGCGGUGAAAUGCGUAGAUAUAUGGAGGAACACCGGUGGCGAAAGCGGCUCUCUGGUCUGUAGCUGACGCUGAGGCUCGAAAGCGUGGGUAGCAAACAGGAUUAGAUACCCCCGUAGUCCCUGUCUCUUAUACC